rnacentral:rRNA from 1 species
CGGAACGGACGCUAAUACCGCAUACGUCCUACGGGAGAAAGCAGGGGUACCUUCGGGCCUUGCGCUAUCAGAUGAGCCUAGGUCGGAUUAGCUAGUUGGUGAGGUAAUGGCUCACCAAGGCUACGAUCCGUAACUGGUCUGAGAGGAUGAUCAGUCACACUGGAACUGAGACACGGUCCAGACUCCUACGGGAGGCAGCAGUGGGGAAUAUUGGACAAUGGGCGAAAGCCUGAUCCAGCCAUGCCGCGUGUGUGAAGAAGGUCUUCGGAUUGUAAAGCACUUUAAGUUGGGAGGAAGGGCAUUAACCUAAUACGUUAGUGUUUUGACGUUACCGACAGAAUAAGCACCGGCUAACUCUGUGCCAGCAGCCGCGGUAAUACAGAGGGUGCAAGCGUUAAUCGGAAUUACUGGGCGUAAAGCGCGCGUAGGUGGUUUGUUAAGUUGAAUGUGAAAUCCCCGGGCUCAACCUGGGAACUGCAUCCAAAACUGGCAAGCUAGAGUAUGGUAGAGGGUAGUGGAAUUUCCUGUGUAGCGGUGAAAUGCGUAGAUAUAGGAAGGAACNACCAGNUGGCGAAGGCGACUACCUGGACUGAUACUGACACUGAGGUGCGAAAGCGUGGGGAGCAAACAGGAUUAGAUACCCUGGUAGUCCACGCCGUAAACGAUGUCAACUAGCCGUUGGGAGUCUUGAACUCUUAGUGGCGCAGCUAACGCAUUAAGUUGACCGCCUGGGGAGUACGGCCGCAAGGNUUAAAACUCAAAUGAAUUGACGGGGGCCCNGCACAAGCGGUGGNAGCAUGUGGUUUAAUUCGAAGCAACGCGNAAGAACCUUNACCAGGNCCUUGACNAUCCAAUGAACUUUCUAGANGAUAGANUCGGNUGCCNUUCGGGAAACAUUGARAACCAGGGUGCCUGCAUGGGCUGUCGUCCARCUCUGUGUUCGUGAGAAUGUUUGGGUUAAAGUUCCCGUAMCGAGGCGCAACYCUUGUCUCUUAGUUACCAGCACGGUAWUGGUGGGGCCACUCUWAGGAGAACCUGGCCGGUGACAAACCGGAGGAAGGUGGGRAUAGAACGUACAAGUCAUCAUGGCCCUUACGGCCUGGGCUACACACGUGCUACAAUGGUCGGUACAAAGGGUUGCCAAGCCGCGAGGUGGAGCUAAUCCCAUAAAACCGAUCGUAGUCCGGAUCGCAGUCUGCAACUCGACUGCGUGAAGUCGGAAUCGCUAGUAAUCGUGA